UCGCCCUGACAUUUUCUCUUUGCAGCGCUCCCCCCAGGACCCGGAGUUGUCUAACUACAGCCUGGAAAAAAUGCAAAACAGACAAAUGCACCCUCGGGGGACAGCGGGAGAAAGCUAAUAGACCAGUCCCCGGCUCCCCACCCACGGAGGUGGUUUAGGUGGGAAGCAUGAUGUGUUUGUCAAGGGGGACCCAAGGCUGCCUUCCUCCUGCAUCUCUCCCGCCUUGGGCCGCCUCUGCUCAGCAGCGGGAGGACGCCAGGUGCUGAUGAUCCAGAACCAGCUCUGCCACCCAGAGGCCCUUACCCUCCCGCGCCUCAUUUACCCCCUCCACACCGCAGGGGUGUGGCUCAGGCAAUUUCAGACUGUGUUAGUCUCUGCUGAGGGCCCUGAAGCUGUUGGGGACGGUCACAGUGCCGCAGAGACUCUAGCACCAGAUGACUCUCGGAUCUGAGGAGACUCUGAUGGCACUGCUGAGGGCUGAACGUGUUCUAGAGGGGCAGGCGAAGACAGACUGAACCCAACCCCGGCUUCCAGAAGCUCCUACCAGGCUGGGUCAAGAAUCAGCACUUGGUGUUUCCUCCUGAGCCGGCGGCCCCCAAGCAGGAGGACCAUGGGGCAGGUUUCCUCCCAAGGACCCCCGCUGCCUUGCUAAGGAACGUCCCUCCAGAGCUGGCAGACAAUGACAACCCCUGGCUGCCCAGGCAGAUGGACGCUUGCCACUCUCCAUAAUGAGGAGCAGUUCAUUCAUUCAGCAGAAAUGUGUUGAGUGCCCGUUAUUUGCCAGAAAAGGACAGAAAAGGAAACUGAGGUUCAGAACGGCUGCACAGCCACUAAGUGAGUCAACCGAGGUUUAUCCAGGCCUGAAGCCCACGUUCUUCACACUCCACUCCGGCGCCUGCCUGGGCAGGGUUCCAACCAUGAGGAGAGCUAGCCACAGGCUCCCAGAAAGGGGAACGAAGUCAGAACACUUACCAGCUGAGAAACGCCCCUAAAAUGCUAUCCUACCAUGCUUUCGCUCUCCAUUAAAGCUCAAAUGAUA